rnacentral:tRNA from 1 species
GCCCAGGUACGCCAACCCGGCAGAGCGGUCUGGCUUAAACCCAGAUGAUUGCAGGUUCGACUCCUGCUCUGGGCA